UCCUUACACCAGCUAGGAAGGGGAAGGUACCCCAUUCUCCUCAGAGCUUAGAACCCCGACAAGGAAAGACUGUAUGCCUCACAGAUUCAGGGCCAGGAACGCUGAGAAUUAAACUAACCAGUUAAGGGGGAAGAGAGAACAAUAUAUUGUCCCCAGCAAGUCAUAGAAGCGGUAGAUGUCAGACAGAGCUGGCAGCAUAUUAACGGUUUUGCCUCAAGGAUGCUUUUACUUAGCCCAAUCUGGGACCAGCGGGAGAUCAGAGGCUGCCAGUUGAAGCUCAAGCCAAGCAGAGCAGGUUGGAGCUUGCUGACUCUUCAAAGGCCUCUCUCCUUCCUCCAGGCCGUUACCUGGACAACCCGAGGCGCCAGGGACCAGUACACCUUGCAUAACUCUGGCCAGGAGGAAGAACCCUUGAUCCAGACAGAGGAAGACUCCAGGGAAAACUCAGAGUGUUCCAGGAAAAGUGCCGCAUCGCCAAGGGAGGGUGUAGGUUUGGGGGCUCUUCAAGCUUGGUUCCGUCCCCAUCGCUUACGGAUGCGUUGCGGCACCAGUGAACCAACGAGAAGGACUGAGAGCCCCCUCUCUGUGGACCAGCUUCCCCCUCAGGUGGUCUCAAUCUCUACUCAUCCCAGAUGAGGCACCAGCAGCUGAACCCACUGUGCCAUUCCCAACCCAGCUUGGUGAACCAACCCAUUUACUGCGCUCGCCGAUGGGAGCACGCGGGAGGUGUACGUGGUCUAGCUUGGUUUCUCUCUUGUGUGAUAAAACGCUUACCAAGCUGGGAGGUGGUGGCACACACCUUUAAGCCCAGCACUCUGGACGCAGAGGCAGGUGGGUCUCUGUGAGUUCCAGGACACCCAAUGUUAGUGUACAGGCAAUUCCACAGUGGCCUGUUCUCGGGGACCUAGCAACUGCUUACGUCAUGACCCACCGGCCGCCCCAGCCCUUUCUCUGUUCCCUGUGAGGCACCCGUCUCUCCCUUUCUCCUUCUCUGCCCUCAUUGUUAGCAUUUUUUUGUCUAGGCUCUGCCCCACAGUUACCUGGCAACGGCAAGGCAAGCCUGAGUCACUAAAAAGGGGGCUGCUUGCCCCCUCUGCUCUCUCUUGCUCCCGUCUGUCUGUCUACAAGUCCACUUGUCUGUCUCUGUCCCUUCCCCAGGUCCUCGAUCCUCUCCCCUCCCUCCAAUAAAUCCCUUGUACACCA